rnacentral:lncRNA from 1 species
CUCAUUUCCGACCUCGGUACAUCGCGCUGUCAAGGAUGGAGUGGGCUUCCCAUAAAUGUUGUUGACCGUCUCUGCUUGCUGUGAGUCAACUGGCCAGAGAGGGUCGGCCUGACCAACAGGACGAACACACUUAUUCCAGCAGCUGUCAGCGUCCAGGGGACACUGUGUUCUUUGGACCCGUUACCAAACCAGCCAGGGGGAGAGGACUCACAUCAAAGCAAGAACUAAGGAGGGAGAGCCAGGCCUAUCUCUUGGCAGCAGACUCUCAGCCUGACCUUCUCAAACUGGAGAACAGUCCUUCCAUCAGACUCUCCCACACUCAGAGCAGCAAGGGGCUUUCUUCCCAGAAUAUUCUCCAAAGACAGGAAGUGUG